rnacentral:lncRNA from 1 species
CGGGAAGGCUCAAGCUGCUGGUGACCAGGGAGCCCGUGACAGCCGGUCCCCGCCGCACCAGCUCUGGCGAGGCCGCAGGAGCCUCAGACAGGGACAGAGGGGCGGGCCUGGGGGGGGCGGGGUGCGAGCUGCCGUGGCCUGGCCAGCUUUUCCCAACGUCCUGGGGCAAAGCUGGCAAGUGGGGUCGUGGACCCAACGGCCUAGACGGUGACCGGAGGUGGGCACUGCGAGGGCAAGGGUGGGGGCGGGGAGGGCGGGGAAGGUGCCUGCACAGAACUUAGAGAAGCUCAUCGCCCGCUGGGGCCUAAAAAACCGAAAAGCAAACGGACGGCCCGGGCGACAGGCCCACGGGCCCUUUGAUCUCUCACGACUUUCAGACUCGGCAACAGAGCACAGUCACACAGAAGCACACUUAAAGGUCUGCUCCAGCUAAAUCAUUUCGUUUCCCUUGAAGAAAUGACUGAAAAAACACAACUCCGGAAACACGAGGCUGAACACAGCAUUCUGCGUGUUGUGUAGCACAGCCGGCCCCUCACAGGGCCCGGUAAUAAUGCCCAUCGAUGGGUAUACAUAUGGCAGAGGUUUAACAUUCCAUGCAUACAGAUUUCAUAACUGCAAAAGAAAAACAAAAGCAAAAAAAAAAAAAAAUCCAAACAAACGCUGCAUAUAUAUGAUGUCCCUUUUGCAUUGCACUUUAGGAGGGGGGUCCAGCAGCACCUGCGCCCCUCCCCCCUCCCCCCCGGUAAACCACGGGCAAGAACCCUGCAGAUGACACGGUCACCAAGCCUCUGCUGGUCCCGGCGGCGGGCGGCGUCUGCACCUGCGCCAGCCAGCGGUCCCCACCUCCGUGCGCGCUGGCAGCUGCCUCGGCGUUGGAACGGGGUCGAGCGAAGAAUCCUGGCUAAGAUCUUUCUCACGUAAAUAAAUACCGUAAUUUCAGGAUGGGUAGCCGCCUCUUGUCUACUGGGAAAUCAUUUUUCAAGCUUGGGCAUAAAAAACCUUAUACAAUUUGCAUGAACAGUUGAGAGUAAACGAGAUUAUCUGGAAUAAAUGCAAGUAACUUAUUCUGAUAGUGGCAGAUUCGAUCGCGACUGAAGACAGGUGUCUCGGGGGUAAAAAGACGAGUCAGGAUUUGCUGUACAAGAUGCUGGAAGGCACAGAACUACCCCCCGAAGUUCAGCUUUUGCAUUUCCGUUUUGUGAUUCCCUUGUUCAACCGAGCACCAGAGGGGGUUUCUAAACACUCGAGCACUUAGGAUGUGGACUGCUCUAUAAAUGGGUCUGCAAUAUUUGAAAAGUAAAAACCUCCGUUAACUGGGGAAUAAAAAGAGAAGGGAAGAGUUUUGACAAAGUGCAGUUCUAAAUAUACGUUUAAAUGAACAAACAAAAAGAAAAAAAAAAAGUGAAGUAAUGCUGUUUUUGUUCCGACGCUGCGGCCUCAGUCCCGACGCGACAGGGGCGGCCGGGGGAGGGUGGCGGAGGUGAGCGGCGCCCGGGCAGGCGGAAGGCGGCAGUGUUCCGGCUCGGGGCGCCGGCGGCCGGCACGGGCGGCCUGGGUCCUUGUCGCUGAAAAAAUAGACUCUGGAGAAAACCCUCCCUGUCCUCGCGCGGGCGCGGACGAGCUGAGAUGGCUUUGCGGGGCGGCGCCCCGGCUCCCUUAGCAGGUCCUCAGAUGGCGUCACGUGUUGGUGGGGCUUUGAAAAGUUAGUCAUUAAAAAACCUGUUGAUUUUUCUGAGUAUCAAGUCUUCUCGUUGGUUUUAAAUAGCUUAUAACAAAAAUGUAAAUGGUAGGACGUCCCGGCAAGCAGAAGGACCGCGGCGGGCACGGAGCCUCGGCCCCCGGCUCCGCUGGGAACCCGGCUUGCACACUCGAACUUGGCCAGUAGAAAAUUUUGCAGUGGAUUCCAAAAGUAUGUGGUUCCAAACGCUCGCUUGGUUAUAGGCACAGUAAGACGUUGUGCUAUGUGGACGCGGGGGCGGGCCGCCGGCGCGCGCA